AGCCCUACGGGGGGCAGCAGUGGGGAAUAUCGCGCAAUGGGCGAAAGCCUGACGCAGCGACGCCGCGUGAGGGAUGAAGGUCUUCGGAUCGUAAACCUCUGUCAGCAGGGAAGAACGGUCACUGUGCUAAUCAGCAGUGAAUUGACGGUACCUGGGGAGGAAGCUCCGGCUAACUACGUGCCAGCAGCCGCGGUAAUACGUAGGGAGCAAGCGUUGUCCGGAAUUACUGGGUGUAAAGGGAGCGUAGGCGGGAUGGCAAGUUGGGUGUUAAGUCUACCGGCUCAACUGGUAGUCGCACUCAAAAC
rnacentral:rRNA from 1 species